rnacentral:lncRNA from 1 species
GCAUGCCUUCUUUCUGAAUGACAUAGGUUCUCUUCUUCUCAUGGUCUAUUAUCGCAAUUUUCUUUGGUGUGCUCAGAUAUACCCUGUCAAUCUAACAAAAAGAAAAGGUCUAGAUCAACAUAAUAAUAAGAAGAAAUCAAGUACUCCUCUUCUCGAUGAAUUAUGAAAAAUUCAAAAAUAGAUCAACAUAAUAAUGAGGAGAAAUCAAGUAAUCCUCUUUUCGAUGAAUUAUGAAAAAUUCAAAAAACCAAGCAUACUGAAUUGAUGGAAGAGAAGAUCCUCUGGCACCUAGUGGUCCUGAGUUCAAAUGAAGGUGUCUAUCCUCUGUUAAAUAUGGAGAACAGCCUAACAUAGUAACGUUACCUCA